ensembl:lncRNA
CUCCCCCAACUCCUGGAGUUUGUUCCGAUUCAUGUCCUUUGAAUUGGUGAUGCCAUCCAACCAUCUCAUCCUCUGCCGCCCCAUUCUCCUUUUGCCUUCAGUCUUUCCCAGCAUCAGGAGCAGAAGAAGAAACUUGAAAAAGGAAAUAAGGAGCAAUUCUAAAGUAUCCCUGUCUCAUGACCCUGUCAUAUUCUCUGGGAAAUGAACUUAUGGAAGGCUGCAGGACGUGCCAGCAGAAGAGGUGAAGGGUUCCUGACUCUUGAGAAGGAUCCCGCCUCCCUCUUCUCCUUUAGAGGGAGAGCUCCCCACUAGCACCCUGAUCUUUCCUGGACCCUUCAAAGACAGCAUCCACAGUUUCCUGGACUGGAGAAGUCUGACGAGCAGUUCUUCCCAGGUAAGUGAUACUUCUGCUUCAGAUUCUGAGAAUUCUGAGAAGCAAAAAAGUCAGCACUGCAAUGCGGCUUGUGAAGGAACACCCACCACCUUGGGUGGUAGGGCACGUACCACACGUGGAAGCGAUGCUGGGAGCCCUCCAAAUGCAGGUUAAAGGAUUUCUCCAGCCUCCUCACUGCUCCCCACAUC